rnacentral:rRNA from 1 species
ACGAACGCUGGCGGCGUGCUUAACACAUGCAAGUCGAACGAGGUAGCAAUACCUAGUGGCGGACGGGUGAGUAACACGUAGGUAACCUGCCUUGUAGUGGGGGAUACCCAUCCGAAAGGAUGGCUAAUACCGCAUACCCUUUGUCGUUGUGAUACGGCUCAGGAAAGAUUUAUCGCUAUGAGAGGGGCCUGCGUAUGAUUAGCUAGUUGGUGAGGUAACGGCUCACCAAGGCGACGAUCAUUAGCUGGUCUGAGAGGACGAUCAGCCACACUGGAACUGAGACACGGUCCAGACUCCUACGGGAGGCAGCAGUGGGGAAUUUUCCGCAAUGGGCGAAAGCCUGACGGAGCAACGCCGCGUGGGUGAUGAAGAUUUUCGGAUCGUAAAGCCCUUUCAGCAGGGACGAAUACAAUGACGGUACCUGCAGAAGAAGCAUCGGCUAACUACGU